rnacentral:lncRNA from 1 species
GGCCUGUGCGCCUUGUGGGGCCAGAGGCCAGAGGGGCUGGCAGGUUGACCCGGGGCCCCGCGGCCUCCUGCCGGAGCGCAAUCCUCAGACCAUCAGACCCGGUGGAGCCUUCCCUUGCUGCACCCAAGAUCCUCUGGUGGCUGACAGCACAAAAAUGGCCGUUGACAGCAACACGCCCCUGGAAGUCCCUGACAUGCUGGCCUGAUCCCCGGUCCUCGCUACACACCCUGCUGAGGAAACCAAGGCAGUUUAUCUGGAGUUAGAUCUGCUGCUUCCUGGCUGUGUGACCUUGGCUGCUGUCUAAGGAAGGGUCAGAGAGGCGCAGCAACUUGUCCGGAGUCCCACAGCUCCAAGAGUGAGGCGGCGUUUGGACCUGACCUUGCCAGGCUGCAGCCCGUCUCGGCCCCCGACCCCUGGCUGCCUGAGAGGCUCAUCCCCUCAUGGUGCAAAAUGGCUGCUGUCGAGCCAGGCAUCCUGUCACAAUGCCCAAUGGGAGCAGAGUGAAUAUCCUUUCCUCACGGCCGUGUGUAAAGACGAGGAAAGUUCCCCGAAGCUGCCAGCACACUCCCCUGCUCGCUAGCACUCUUCACUUGACCCUCCUGGGCCAGUUGUGAACGACGGGGGUCGGGAGUCCCAGGCUUGGCCUAACUAAGCCAUGUCCACUCGGAGGUGGGGGUGGGACCAAGCCACCACCUUCACAGACCCAAGGCUGUCGCUAGGGGAGGGGAUCCCUAACCGGGCAAAACCGCAGGGCGGCCCUGGAGCCCUGGAAGCCGCAGCUGCAGCUGGCGUAGCCCCGUGGGGGCAGGAGGCCGAGAGCCGCUGGCAUGGGGGGCGGACGACAUGAGACUGAUUUUGCUCUGAAGCUGCAUGUUGGAAGAUGGUGUUUGACGCUGUUUUACGUCCCUCCAUUAAGGGUCUUUCUGAUGACAAAAGACCCACUUGUUAGGGCGGGGGCACGGCUGUGUGUCCGACCCCCCGAGGAAGGGCCCAGCCUGGGGAGCUCCGUGCCCAGCGGCCCACUGUCAGCCCCUGCGGGCCAGCCACAGCCGCAGAGCCACCCCCUCAGGGUCAGCACGGUCCUGUCCCCUCGUCGGGGACCCAGAGGUUGGCACCAGGGCGAUUUUGACGCGAGGGGACACCCUGCGCUGGCCGGAGACACUUUCAGUCAUCAAGAUUGGGGGGCGCGCGAGGCUGGCAUCGCGUGGGUGGAGGCCAGGGACACGCUGGCAUCCUACAGAGCACAGGACGGCCCCAACCAAGGACAGUCUGGCCCCAAAUGUCCACACGUCCAGGGCUUGGGCCCUCGGGGACACCCUCGCAGACCUGGGACAGGCCCUCCUCCCGCCCACCUCCCUCCGAGCCCGCACCCCGGAGUGCGAACAGAGACAGCCAUUCUCAAGAAGAUUCCGGCAGUGCGAAACCAGCUCUCCGCUCGGCCUCGAAGCUCUGCUCGUCCCUGACCCCUGCUCGUCACCAGUGCACGUCCCCCCCGGUUGUUUCCAGGCUGCUGGCGGUACCCGUUGCUCGGCUGGCCAGCUCCCAGGCUCCCUGUUUCUGGUCACCACACCGGUUUCCCCCGGGGACCCCCCUCCCCCGUUACCCCCGGGCCCUGAGGUUUGCCAGGAGGCGCCUCCCCCCUUCCUUCCUCUGCACAUGGGCAGGUGACCCGGCCUGCCUAUCAGCACGGUCCCACCCCCGACUUCAGCGAUUUGUCCAGAGGUGGGCACGUGACCCAAGCAAGGUCAGGGAGGGUCAGCCUGAGGAAUUUGCUGGAAGUACUGAGAAAGAAGAAUGCUUUCUGCUCUUAUGGCUCAGCGGGUGGAACCGGAACCUGGAGCUGCCUGGGGCCUCACGUGGAGAGAGCCUGCUUAAGGAUGAGGCGAACAGAGGCAAGCCACGCGGAGAGACGGGGGCAGGGGGCCAGAGAUGGCAUCAUGACAGUGCUGGGCCCUGGAUCAAGCCUCGCCUGAAGAUACACUCCUGGUUUUUUCAUUGUUAGCUAGACCAAUAAUUUCCAUGUUUUUGCAAUUGAGCCACUGUUGUGAGUUGAGUGGUGUCCCUUCUCCAAAAAAGAUGGGAAGUCCUAACCCCCAGGGUCUCAGGUGACCUUCUGUGGAAACAGGUCUUUACAGAGGUGACAGAGUUAAGAUGAGGUUUCUAGGGUGGGUCCUAAUCACAAUGAGUGGAGUCUCUAGAAAAAAGGGAAAUUCAGACACAGAGACACACGCAGAGGGAAGGUGAUGGAAAGACACAGAGGGACCACACUGUGUGACUGGAGUGAUGUGUCUACAAGCCAGGGAGUGCCUGGCCGGCUGCAGGAAGGGCCGAGCCCUCAGGGAGCGCGGCCGCCACACCCGCAUUUCAGGCCGCUGGCCUCCAGGACGCAGAGAGAAUGAACCUCUGUUGCUGUAAGCCGCCUGGUUCUGGGUGCCGUGUUGGCAGCCGAGGAGACGCAGCCGCUGUGGUCGGGCUGUCAGGUUCAAGGAAGGAUCCCGAACAGCAGGUGUCACAGCAGCGUCCAGGUAGUUUUUUACAAAAAUGGUAGGUUUCGCAUUUGAAAUGACAGAAUGUCACAUUUUACGUGGUACCCACACUACUUAUGCUGACUCCCCCUCCCCCACGCUCUUCCCGCUCCACGUCCCUUGUGCUGGGCGACCCCGGCAGGCUGCAUCCCGCUCCGUGUCAUCAUCCAGGCCCCAUGGUUGGGCCAAACGUGCUCUGUGUCGUCUUGUAAAGGAGGGUUCCCAUGGUGACGUCCCAGUGGGCCAUGGGGACCACUGAUGUAUAAGAGAUGAUUUUAAGUAGAACACCAACUGUAUAUUUUGCUUUAAUAAUUAAUAUUUUAUCUUAAUGUGCAUUCAGACAUUGUAAUUGCCUCUUUAAACCUGGGAUUUACAAGUAUCAUCGUCAGGGGCUCUGUCUGAGGCCCCGCUCUCUGGUGGGAUAACUGGGAGAGGUUCCUGAAGGGACAGUUUGUAAAGGGGGAGGCCGGGGGUAGGUAGCGACACCCAGAAGAAACGGGCAGCCCAGGGCUGGCCAGGCAGGCCGCUGUCACCACCCUCAGGCCCGAAGGGGUGGGAGGGAGCGGCUACGGGAAGCUGGAGGAGCUGGAGCUGUGCGGGGAGCAGCAGACAGGAGGGAGCUCCGGCGGAAGAGCCAGUCCCUGUCCAUCAUGCGGAGGCGGGGACGGGGGUGGGGGAAACACCCCAGCCUCUCUCUCCUCCCGCCCUCCAGUCUCCAGUCCGGGCCUCCCAUUGGCUGAACCCAGCAGGAAGCUGGAGUGCAAGGGAGCCUGGGUAAUGUAGUCCACAGCGUCAGCCUCCUGGUACACAGAGCAGGGAGGGUCCGCAGGGGCCGUCGGAAGAUAACCUAAGAGGAGGCUGUGGAACCGGAGGCGGAAAACUUAAGGAAACUGUUAAGUUUUAAGCGGGUCCUUUCAGGCACCCGUGAGACCGCCCGUGACCAGGACCUGAAAUCCUGACACUUGACUUCCUUUCGCCCACUGCCUGCUGCCCUCUGCUUCUAUGCCCCCUUUGUCCCCAGAUC